GACGAACGCUGGCGGCGUGCCUAAUACAUGCAAGUCGAACGCACUCUCGUUUAGAUUGAAGGAGUUUGCUCCUGAUUGAUAAACAUUUGAGUGAGUGGCGGACGGGUGAGUAACACGUGGGUAACCUGCCCUAAAGUGGGGGAUAACAUUUGGAAACAGAUGCUAAUACCGCAUAAAACCUAACACCGCAUGGUGUAGGGUUGAAAGAUGGUUUCGGCUAUCACUUUAGGAUGGACCCGCGGUGCAUUAGUUAGUUGGUGAGGUAAAGGCUCACCAAGACCGUGAUGCAUAGCCGACCUGAGAGGGUAAUCGGCCACACUGGGACUGAGACACGGCCCAGACUCCUACGGGAGGCAGCAGUAGGGAAUCUUCCACAAUGGACGAAAGUCUGAUGGAGCAACGCCACGUGAGUGAAGAAGGUUUUCGGAUCGUAAAACUCUGUUGUUGGAGAAGAAUGUAUCUGAUAGUAACUGAUCAGGUAGUGACGGUAUCCAACCAGAAAGCCACGGCUAACUACGUG
rnacentral:rRNA from 1 species